CCCGCUGAAUUUAAGCAUAUUAAUAAGCGGAGGAAAAGAAACUAACAAGGAUUCCCUCAGUAACGGCGAGUGAAGCGGGAAGAGCUCAAAUUUGAAAUCUCCGAUGCUUGCAUCGGCGAGUUGUAGUUGCGAGAAGCACUUUCUAGGUGGAUCGACGGUGCCUAAGUUGCUUGGAACAGCACGUCGCAGAGGGUGACAACCCCGUCUGUGGCGCCGUCGGCCGCCGACGAUGCGCUUUCGAAGAGUCGGGUUGUUUGGGAAUGCAGCCCAAAACGGGUGGUAAACUCCAUCUAAAGCUAAAUACUGGCGUGAGACCGAUAGCGAACAAGUACCGUGAGGGAAAGAUGAAAAGAACUUUGAAAAGAGAGUUAAAAAGUACGUGAAACCGUCGGAAGGGAAACGAAUGGACUCAGCAAUGCGCCCUCUGAGAUUCAGCCGGUGGGUGGCGUCGGCGCCGGGUUUGCGGAUCUGAAUGGACCGCGGCCCGGCCUUCGCUUCUCCCCGCCGUCGCACUUCUCUGGGGCGCGCGUCAACGUGGGUCGGGACUGGGUCUGAAAGGUACCCGGGAAGGUAGGUGUGGGSCUCCGGGUUCCCGCUCUGUUACAGCCCGGUUCUCUCAUGGCUCGGGCCCGACCGAGGAGCGACGGACAGGGCAUGCCUCCUGUGGCUAGGGUCCCGUCCUUCCGGCCGGCUGUCCAGUGCGGUGGACUGCUUGCAGUGCUCCGCGACGGCUGCCGGUCGUUGGGGUGGUGAUCUCGUACCAUGCCCUUCAGAUGUUGGCGGUCAUAUGGGUGC
rnacentral:rRNA from 1 species